rnacentral:rRNA from 1 species
AGCCGGCCUUGAAAUACCACCCUUUAAUGUUUGAUGUUCUAACGUGGACCCGUUACCCGGGUUGCGGACAGUGUCUGGUGGGUAGUUUGACUGGGGCGGUCUCCUCCUAAAGAGUAACGGAGGAGCACGAAGGUUGGCUAAUCCUGGUCGGACAUCAGGAGGUUAGUGCAAUGGCAUAAGCCAGCUUGACUGCGAGCGUGACGGCGCGAGCAGGUGCGAAAGCAGGUCAUAGUGAUCCGGUGGUUCUGAAUGGAAGGGCCAUCGCUCAACGGAUAAAAGGUACUCCGGGGAUAACAGGCUGAUACCGCCCAAGAGUUCAUAUCGACGGCGGUGUUUGGCACCUCGAUGUCGGCUCAUCACAUCCUGGGGCUGAAGUAGGUCCCAAGGGUAUGGCUGUUCGCCAUUUAAAGUGGUACGCGAGCUGGGUUUAGAACGUCGUGAGACAGUUCGGUCCCUAUCUGCCGUGGGCGCUGGAGAACUGAGGGGGGCUGCUCCUAGUACGAGAGGACCGGAGUGGACGCAUCACUGGUGUUCGGGUUGUCAUGCCAAUGGCACUGCCCGGUAGCUAAAUGCGGAAGAGAUAAGUGCUGAAAGCAUCUAAGCACGAAACUUGCCCCGA